CGCAGGCAAAGGAAAAAACAAUAAAAGGAAAAUACCAUCCAAUCCAGAGCAUACAAGAGAAAUUCCAAUUCAGCUUCAUAAACUGCAAUACUCCGCCUCCUAAAACCCCGCCUUCGUGACAGUGUUCCCUGACACUGAAGAAUAGCCACUUUCCAGCCACGUCCGUGAUUGGUGAGCUCUUGUUACAAAGCCAUUGCAUUUAAUAUCGCAUCUACACUCAACAUGAGAAACAAUAUCCACAAACAUUCCACGACAUCAAAACUACAUAGAGGAAGGCCAUGCAUACUAAAAUAUUAAUGAAACAUGGCGUUGCAGGAUCACUUCUAUAGUUCCAAAAUAGACAUAAAAGCUGCCAAAGAAACCCAUCUACUAUCCCCGAACAUGAUCCAAGUCUUCCGAAUUUCCGCAUGACGAGGUAACUGCAGGUGGCAUCACUGCUGGCAUAUACAAAUGGGUUAGGAGUUGGAAGUAUGAGGGGCUUUACACUGCUCAUCCUCGACAGCUGAUAAGUGCUGAAUGAAUGCUUAAAGACCACC
rnacentral:sRNA from 1 species